AGUGGCGGACGGGUGAGUAACGCGUGGGUAACCUGCCUCAUACAGGGGGAUAACAGUUAGAAAUGACUGCUAAUACCGCAUAAGACCACAGAGCCGCAUGGCUCAGUGGGAAAAACUCCGGUGGUAUGAGAUGGACCCGCGUCUGAUUAGGUAGUUGGUGGGGUAACGGCCUACCAAGCCAACGAUUAGUAGCCGACCUGAGAGGGUGACCGGCCACAUUGGGACUGAGACACGGCCCAA
rnacentral:rRNA from 1 species